UACGGGGGGGGCAAGCGUUGUUCGGAAUUACUGGGCGUAAAGGGUUUGUAGGUGGCCAAUUAAGUCAGACGUGAAAUCCCUCAGCUUAACUGGGGAACUGCGUCUGAUACUGGUUGGCUUGAGUGCAGGAGAGGAAUGCGGAAUUCCAGGUGUAGCGGUGAAAUGCGUAGAUAUCUGGAGGAACACCGGUGGCGAAGGCGGCAUUCUGGACUGCAACUGACACUGAAGAACGAAAGCCAGGGGAGCAAACGGG
rnacentral:rRNA from 1 species